GCCGCUGCCAAAAAAGGGGUGGCGCCCGGGUGAACCGGACCAUCUUGUACCCAUGUUGCUUCAAGGAGGAUGUGGCUAUGAGAA
rnacentral:sRNA from 1 species